rnacentral:rRNA from 1 species
AUUGAACGCUGGCGGCAGGCCUAACACAUGCAAGUCGAACGGUAGCACAGAGGAGCUUGCUCCUUGGGUGACGAGUGGCGGACGGGUGAGUAAUGUCUGGGAAACUGCCCGAUGGAGGGGGCUAACUACUGGAAACGGUAGCUAAUACCGCAUAACGUCGCAAGACCAAAGAGGGGGACCUUCGGGCCUCAUGCCAUCGGAUGUGCCCAGAUGGGAUUAGCUAGUAAGUGGGGUAACGGCUCACCUAGGCGACGAUCCCUAACUGGUCUGAGAGGAUGACCAGCCACACUGGAACUGAGACACGGUCCAGACUCCUACGGGAGGCAGCAGUGGGGAAUAUUGCACAAUGGGCGCAAGCCUGAUGCAGCCAUGCCGCGUGUAUGAAGAAGGCCUUCGGGUUGUAAAGUACUUUCAGCGAGGAGGAAGGUGUUGAGGUUAAUAACCUCAGCAAUUGACGUUACUCGCAGAAGAAGCACCGGCUAACUCCGUGCCAGCAGCCGCCGUAA